rnacentral:lncRNA from 1 species
AAUCAGUGGUCUAAAUACCACACAGCCACAAUAAAUUAGGUAAAUACCCAGGAAGGCCCGCACUGCUACCGAGUCUGAGUGAGUUACGACGCGCGCCAGGGUGAGUCACGGUUCUGUGCCGGCGGGAGGGAGGCAAGCGAGCCGGGGCUCGUACCACGCAGGCAAAGCCCUGUGCGUUUAGAAGCAAACAGGAAGUAACGGAAAACCGCAAACACCCCCGCAGACGGUUCUGCGUGCUCCUCUCGCCUGCGGCGUCCCGGAGUUCUUCACCGGCUUCUCCCCCAGCCGACAGGGGCAGGAGCCCGUCACAGAAACUCUUACCAAAGACUGCAGGAGGCACGUGUGAAAAACGAAACCUUCACACACUCCUGGGCCUUUCCACACUGCCUGCUGCACGCUAUGCCACACACACUGGAGAUCAGGUGAAGAUACUCCAGUACCAGCCAACGACACUCAGAAUUCAAAGUCCUAUUUCCGAAGCCCAAAGCAACCUCAUAGGUUAGUAUCACACUCUCCUGGAAGUAAAUGGUUUUGGGCAGUCUUAAAGAACAAGUCUUAGCUGUGUCAAAGGUGAUGCACGGGGAUGUCUCCGGUGGGUAACAGGUGGCAUCUGAGCGGCAGGUGGAGUCCGGUUUUGACGUUCUGCCCCUACUGCCCUGCAGCAGCGAAGACCAGCUUGCUCCCUGUGACUCUCAGAAAAGCAAACUUCAGCAUUAACUGUCACCUCCUUGAAAAUCUACAACAAAACAGCCUCUUUCUCCUGCAACUGUGAUCCAGUGGCUCUCAAGUGUGCGAGGUGAGUCAGUGUACCAGGUGUGCUCCCGCUUCGGAAGACAGGAUCCCCUCCAAACAUCUCUGACUGAUGCACCACGAGGGGUGAGGGGGCUUCCUGCUGCCCCU